UGCCUUGAACUUGAUGCACAUCGUUAUAAAAAUAUCAAACAGGUGACCGGCGAGAUCUCGUCAAGAUGGCGCCGUGAGCAGACGUUGAACUUGCCUCCUCCCACGAGCACAAGCAGGUUACAACAAUUUUGGGAAGAAUCACCCUGGAUUGAAAACUGAAAACUGGAUAAAAAGAACCCCCACAAUAAGGGACAGUCCUGACGAAAGCAGAAGACGCAGUAACUCCAACAGGAGAGGAACAAAGCCACCUUUGGGAGGAGCAGAGCUUCUCAGCUGGCCAGGCAGGAGCCACCCUAAGAAACCCUUCCAUGUGCGGCUCUCCCAUCUGAUGGAGUUUUGUUCAUGCACUCGGCUGCCAGGCUAGACGGCCACAUACCUCAAUCACCUUUGAAGUUAGACGUCAUCAGGAGCGUGUGAACAGAGGGAUAUAUACAUUUUCCAUAACCCAUUCUUCAAGGAAAGCUGCUUAUUUUUUUCUUUAUCUCUCUCUCUUUAUCUCUGUGGGCUGGAAUAGGAAUACAGAAGUGAUACCAGUAAGUCAGGUUUAUCCAUCCUCUUGAAAUCAACACCCUAGCGAUGAUGGAGCCUGAGUCCCUGUGUCAUCUUCUGAGGAAGAGCUGCCAAAGAGCCAUUAAUCCUCCAUCCACUGCUAUACUCUUAGAGGAGAGAGAAAUGAAAUUCUGUCUUAACCAUACCACUGCAUUCUGAGGUCCUUCAGUACAAUAGCUUAACCUGUGUCUUAACUAAUACGUAUAUUGUCAUGGAGAUUAGUUUAAAUUUUUCUUUUUCUUACUGGGCAAGUCUGGUUUGGUAUCAAGGUUAUGUUAGCCUCAUAAAAUAUACAAAGGUGUUACCAUCGUUUUUAUCUCUUCAUUAAGAUUGAUGUUCCUUGAGUAUUUGCUUGCCUUCACCUUUAGAGCUUUCUGGGUCUAGCAUUGUAGAAAUGUUUUUGAUUAUUCAUUCAUUUUAUUUAAUGGUUAUAAGAUUACUCAGGUAGUAGACUUAUUAUGACACUGCUUUAAUAUCACAGGAGUUUAUUUUCUUAGCUAAGUUUUCAACAGAAUUCUUUAUUCUGUUGAAUAAACUCUUAAUGACUAAAACUGAUUUAGUCUUA
rnacentral:lncRNA from 1 species